rnacentral:lncRNA from 1 species
GUUCGCAUAGCACCCGCACGGCCCUCAAUUUACUACAGCCAGCAUGUCCUGUAAGUGAAGUGGGCUGGAUACAGUCAGGUGGUCUCGUUUUCCUGUAAGCAGUAGAAACUAAGGAGAUGGAGUGGAAAAGCAGCAGAUUCAAACAGCAACCAGAGGAACCCGAAGCAAGCUGUGGGCAAGGCUCCAGCUUCAUGAGGUGGCUCCUAAUACAUGGGAAAGAUGGGCACAAAGGGAAAGGGGGCCAGGAGGACAAGAAGUGGCCCAUUCAUGCUGCCUGCAUCCCUGGCUCAGGCUGUCUGAAUGGUGCGCUUAUGAAGCUGCCAGCUUCGAAAAUAAAGAAGGGGGGAAAAUAUGUGUAACUUAAGUCAGAAAGAAGGGAGGUCUCUAUGUGCAGCUGUUGGUGAGAGACAGAAGACCUUGCCUGUGAGCCUGCUUCUUCACAUGGGGAAACUUUUCAUCUCUGUCUGGCCAGUUUAGCGAAGGAGGCACGCUGGCUGAAGAAAUACGUUAAAGGAGGGAAAAAAGCAGCUCAGCAGCAGGGUGGCCAAGCUUUCCUCGGAGACACGGGCUGCACACAGCUGAGCCGGCACAGGUGCCCCUCUGCACAAGUCGGCGCCGCGCUGAACACACAAGAGCCUCCCCUCUGAGAGGCCGCCAAGUGGCCAUCGGCUGGCACGCUUUUCUGUCACUCAAGGUCAAGACCUGUCCACCUCAAGGUAAAAUGACAUUUUUGCUACCCUUGAACUGAGUGGCACCAGUUCUGUGCAGCAAAGGAACCAAAUAAAGGAAAGAAGAGGGGGGAGUGAGGCAAUCAUCUCUAUCUCACCGGCGACUGCCAGGGUUGGGAACGGGAAUCUCUGCUCCAGCUGUCUGAACAGGUGACCCGAGGCAAGAAAUAAACUGCGAAUAUCUGCAACCUGAAAGGGAAAACUCCAAGUAUGGACUGCGCACCCCUGGCAGGCAGGUGCUGUGUGCGGCUUCAGGUCCAUUAUUGCGUUUCAUCCUCCCAGAACCUUCGCGGAGGAAACGUGUGAAACUGAGGCACGGCUCGGGUUCCCCACGGCCUAACCCUGAAAGCUGGUGCUCAUUCCAUCCCCCAGUUCUCAGCUCCCAUCGGCCCCCACACCAGAAGUCGGCGAAGUUUUCUGUGAGGAGCCAGUGGGGAAAAACUCCAGGGUGGACAGAGGAGGACGGGGUUAUACUGCCUUCAAAAUGCAAUAAUGAGAAAAAAGAAACCCUGCUAUUAACAUCGGCAGGAAACGUUGGCAGAAAAAGGACAACCCAUCCAUGCACUGUGACAUCUUCAAGUAAAUUCACAUAUUGGCAUAGCAUUCUGGGAUUUUCUUUUCUUCUUUUUUAAUCUCUGAGCC